GACGCGUGUUUAUUUUCGCAUGUUGUCAACAUAAACAAUAAAAUACAACUGUUUGCGCACCCAGUGUUGCUUUACUAAUGUUGUAGUCAGAACCAUGUGAACUGCUAGACGUUAUUUUUGCAAAUAAAAUUCUACCAGGAAAAUGUACAUCUUACAUAACUUUGUAUAACUAUGGUAAUCUACUAGCUACCGUUACUUCAAGUAUGAUCGAAUGUUUACCGAAUCCCAAGACGAUAUAGCAAUCAAUAGACAUAUCGAAGUUGGAAAUUGCCUGGAAACCUAUUUAAUUGGCUCACAUUGUCAAAAAAUGUGGAUUUCAUUGCAAUUUUUAUAACGCAUAUUCGAUUAAUAAGCGGUACCAGAGUCGUGCUAAGAGAUGACCAACGGUGCAAAUGCUCUAAGACAAAACACAUUUGAAGGGCGCUAAAAAAACAUUAAAACUUCCUUUUUUUUUGCAUAAGAUGUAUCUUGUUUAAAAUAUAUUAAUUAGGAGCUCCGAAUAUAUGAUUUCCCUAGGGUAUCAAUAGCAGUUGGCACAGCACUGGGAGGCCGUUAGAAGUAAGACCGAAAAAUCUGGAAACAUAACCCUUUUAACAGUGUCGUCGUGUGAACACGGCAAUGUGACAGAUUGUUGCCUUAUUGUUGUUUUUAGGACCUCGCACUUCUACACAUAAAUAAGUAUACGUUAUAAUCAUAACGAAAAAUAUAUGAAAAAUAUCAAUUAACGUAAAAUGUGUGGAUUUUCGUUCUCGCUGACACAAGCAAUAGCUUUUAGUUCAAUAUCUUGGAAGGUAUGAAGAUUUUUAGAAUAUUGUCAUGAAAGAAAAUACUUUUUAAUAUGAUCUAUAUCUAAUAUCAAUAUGAUAAGAAUUGUUACCAAAUAAAUUUAUUGUUAUAUAAAAAUAGUUCAGUGUAAUUUUUGUUAUAUUAAAA